GCUUGGAGUUGGUACCAUCUCAGCUGUGCUGACCUGGAAGAUGUCAGCAAUGACUUGUUCUUUAAGGCCAGUUGCUACUCUACAACAGUAGAUGAAAAACUCAUCAAUGGCUGGAAUCUUCCUUGAAGGGCUUGGUGUUGGAAUCGCCUCUUGUCCAAUCCUCUGUGCUUUGCUCCAAUAAAGAAUAUAUUGUGUUGAGGGGCAAAACAGACUCCCAAAACACUUGAAACACUUCUUGAGAUGGAAACCGAAAGUGAUGUGAAGUAUAAUAUGUCAUGGUCUGAUCAGACACACAAAAUCUGUUGAGGACAGUUUGUGGCCCCAUGGACAUUUCUUGCAGCCUUGCCUCCAGCUCAGCAAUAUACUCCAGGGCAUCAUCCAGUGCACCUACAAAAAAAGAAGACAAAUCAGUCUUCAUUACCAUUCAUUCGUAUUCACCCUUUCUUUUUAUUGUAUUGUUAUUCUGUAUACUUAAGUUUAUUUAUAUUUAUUAUUAUUAAAUUUAUUUGUACUGUUUUCUGUUUUUCUUUUUUAUGUAUUAACUAUAGGUUGAGUGUUGUACAUAGAGUAAAAACCAAAGUCAAAUUCCUCGUUUGUUCGCAAACCUGGCCAAUAAAGCUGAAUCUGAAUUAAUAUGUAACCCCA